ACGUCAAGGCACAUUCUCAAUAGGGUGAGAACCUACUCUCACCUCCUACAUAGUGGGCACACAAAGCAGUCUAUACUGCUACCAAAACCUUAUUAAUGUGUUGGGGGAGCUGCAACCAGACUGAGGAGCCAACAACCUCAAAUAUGUGCAAA